CCUACGGGUGGCUGCAGUGAGGAAUAUUGGUCAAUGGGCGGACGCCUGAACCAGCCAAGUAGCGUGCAGGAUGACGGCCCUACGGGUUGUACACUGCUUUUAUCCGGGAAUAACGCGCCUUACGUGUAGGGCUUUGCAUGUACCGUAUGAAUAAGGCCCGGCUAAUGCCGUGCCAGCAGCCGUGGUAAAUCGGAGGGUCGCGGCGUUAUCCGGAUUUAUUGGGGUUAAAGGGAGCGUAGGCCGCAUGUCAAGCGUGCUGUGAAAUGUCCGGGCUCAACCCGGGCCUCGCAGCGCGAACUGGCGUGCUUGAGUGCGCGGAAAGCAGGCGGAAUGCGUCGUGUAGCGGUGAAAUGCUUAGAUAUGACGAAGAACCCCGAUUGCGAAGGCAGCUUGCUGCAGCGGAACUGACGCUGAUGCUCGAAAGCGCGGGUAUCGAACAGGAUUAGAUACCCUGGUAGUC
rnacentral:rRNA from 1 species